rnacentral:rRNA from 1 species
UGAGGAAUAUUGGGCAAUGCCCGCAAGGGUGACCCAGCAACGCCGCGUGGAGGAUGAAUGUCGUAAGAUUGUAAACUCCUGUUAGAGGGGAAGAAUAGUACCGGUUGGACCGGUAUAUGACUGUACCCUCAGAGAAAGCCCCGGCUAACUACGUGCCAGCAGCCGCGGUAAUACGUAGGGGGCAAGCGUUGUCCGGAUUUACUGGGUGUAAAGGGCGCGCAGGCGGGAUAAAAAGUCAGUGGUGAAACCCUACAGCUUAACUGUAGAACUGCCUUUGAUACUUUUAUUCUUGAGUUCGGGAGAGAGAGACGGAAUUCCAGGUGUAGUGGUGAAAUACGUAGAUAUCUGGAAGAACACCAGUUGCGAAGGCGGUCUCUUGGUCCGACACUGACGCUGAGGCGCGAAAGCGUGGGGAGCAAACA